GACAGCUCCAGGUUGUAAUUGUUCUGCCUAAGGAUUUCCUUGUUCAGAUCAAUCUGCCUAAAGCCCAUUUCCUCCAGCUCCCUCAGCAGCUUCUCUUCAUUGUGACCAUCUAUGUCAAAAGGCUCAGGUGCUGCGGCGCUGGCUGCAGGUGGAGGCACAGGCACAGAAGCAGGGGCAGGGGCAGAUGCAGGUGCGGAUGCAGGGGCAGGCAUAGAAACAGGCACAGUUGUAGGCAGGAUAGGCACAUUAACAGGUGAAGGUCCAACCGGGGCAAGCAGCUCAGGUGCAGGUGCAGGCACACUAACAGAAGGCACAAAAGCAGCAGCAGUGGCACUGGACAUGGGAACAUCAACGACAAGGUUUGCAGGAGCUGCUGCAGGCAUAGAGGUAGCAACUACUAGAGCAGGCUGAGAUUUCUUGGGCUCUGGAACAUCACUCGGAUAGAAGUGGAAC
rnacentral:lncRNA from 1 species